UUGUGGGCAGUGGCAAAACCAAAAAAGAAAAAGAUCAGAAAAUUCCCAUUAGGUCCCAUACUCAUUGUGCCGAAAGCCAUUCUUGCAAAAACAACAACAAAAUCUACUAUUCUCUCUCUUCUUCUCCUUCCUUCUCCCUGCGACCGCCUCAAAUCGCAAUCCCUGCAACUCCUUCACUCUCAGAUUCUCCUCCUUCCCUUCCUCUCACGAUUGUUUGUGCUCCGCCGCCGCUGAAACCUGCGCAAGAUCCCCGCGGUGCUUCCGCGGGAUAUCGCUAGGGUUUUCUGAUCGUUCGUUCCUUUCCUUCUUCCAGGACGUCUUUUUUAAAUUGCGCUCACUCUGUGUAGCGUCCACGAGCCGUCAUGGCUCCCGGGCGUCGACGCGGAGCGAACAAAGCGAAGGCAAAUGGCCACUUGAGUUUGGGCGAUCUUGUGCUUGCUAAGGUCAAGGGCUUCCCUGCGUGGCCUGCUAAGAUAAGCAGGCCUGAGGAUUGGGAGAAAAUCCCUGAUCCAAAGAAAUAUUUUGUUCAAUUCUUUGGUACAAAAGAAAUUGCUUUUGUUGCCCCAGCAGAUAUUCAGGCAUUUACCAGUGAGGCUAAAAAUAAGCUGUCAGCUCGUCUUCAAGGCAAGACUAAGUACUUUGCCCAAGCUGUGAAGGAAAUAUGUGCAGCAUUUGAUGAGAUGCAGAAACAGAAGGCUAGUGGUUUGACAGAUGACACUGACGAUUCUCGUAUUGGUUCAGAGGCUCCUUCUAAUGAUGGGAUAGUAGUUAACCUUAAGGAUGCAAUUGACACUGUGUUAUCAAAUGCAGAACAAGAUAACAUUGAUAUGGAGAAUAUUGAUUCUAAUCUAGAGCACUGUACACCUAGAUUAGGGCAAAAUGACAGCCAAGAUGAAAAACAUUCUGUAUCUGACCAUCCAAACGAAAGUUCUUCUGUUUCAUCACCAGUGAUCAAAAGUAAAUUAUCCAUGGGUUCGGAGCCAAAGAAGAAUGGUAACAAAUCAAGUCUUAAAGUUGCAAGUAAUGUUAACGAUUUUGGGCAAGAUGAUAACAGACAUGGUGGUUUAGCAAAUGGGACCAAGCCAAGAAAGCUUGCCAAUGGUUUGCGAAAGAGAAGUGAAGCUGCAGGUGAUAGAGAUAGAAAUGGUGGAUCAUCUACUGGAAUUUUUAAGGCGGAAAAUUGUACUGGUCGUGGUGACCUUUCUAGGUCCAGAGAAACAAUGAAAGCUGGGAAGAAAAGAAAAAAUGCAUUUGAUGUUAAAUUGGAUUCUCCAGAUACUCUUAAAUCAGACAACAAUCAUAAUACUGGGGAAAAAGAUAGCAGUAUGAUAAAAGUCAAAACAAGUCUUGAGGUAAAAAAUGAGUUGCCUGAGUUCUCGGUUGAUUCCAAGGAUGCUGAUGGUAAAAGUUCUAGUUUGCGGAAGAAGAUGCAACUUCAUGCAACCUAUACUUUAGGGGCAAAUGAAUCUUUACAUGCUACCAAGAAGUUGAAGCGCAUGGAUACCAAAGAUGAUUCAACUUUGGGAUAUCCUUCAAAAGUUCUGAAAAGAGCUUCACCUGGUUCUACAGUUAUUGAAGAGAGACUAUUUAAAAGGUCAGAAUUGAAGAAGUCUACACCAAAUUUGAAAACAGAAAAAAGCUUGUUAUCAAGGGGUAAAAUUGGUGGUGCAGUUUCUGAUGAUUCUGUCCAUGAGCUGCUAGCAGCGACUAGACAUCAUAUUCAGGUUCAAAAAGUUACGCCUGAUUCUUCAGUCAUUGCAUCUGAGGAAAAGAAAGAAAGGAAUUAUCUCAGACUGAAAGGUGAUACAAGUAAUGUUAUGAUAAAACAAGUAGAGAGGAAACGUAGAGCUGUUUGUCUUUUUGAUGAUGAUGAUGACGAACCUAAAACUCCUGUUCAUGGAGGAGCUGGAAAAAAUGUUAAAUCAUCUUCUGUUUCUGAUGCCAAGAAGAGCAACAAUGCACACUCAGAGAAGUUGGAUGUUGUUCCGCUCACUCAAGGAAGUUCUAGUGAGCGUGAGGAUACCCAUUUGAAAGAGCCAUCAUCUCAAUUAUAUAACGACAGUUUGUCAAUCAAGCAACCUCUAAAAGAGAAAGAUAGAGAGAAAGAUGACAAAGUUAUUCCUGUGCAUAUUCCUCAUAGUCCUGAAAAUUUAGAUUUGAAGCAGCUUCCCUCCAAUAUAGCAAAAUUGAGCUCUACCUCCCCACUAAAAUCACCUCAAUCGGUACCUGCAAGCAAGUCGAGUGCUGAGCGGAUUAAAGCUUCAAAGCUGUCACUUAAAGUUUCCAAUAAUGCAACUACUCAAAAGAGGGUUGAUCAUGGGCUUUCAAAGUAUUCACAUAACCUGAGCUCUUCUCAGAAUCAAGUUGCUACACAUAAAAAGAAGCCUGCAUUGUCGGCAGAAAUAUCUAAAACUACACCUGAGACAUUGCCUCAGGCAGUUGAAGUUCCUGUUUCAACAAUUGGUUUUAAGGAUACUGAUGCUCUACAUGUUGAUAGAUUGGAGGUAAGCACAGAAGGGAAAGGUACUAUGAAGCAUCUUAUUGCUGCUGCCCUGGCGAAAAGGAAACAGGCUCAUUCACAGUUUCUUCCCUCUGGCUUUCCUAGUGUUCAGGGGGGAACUCCUAGCCCGACUACAGUUCAGCCAUUUCUGUCUGUCUCGAGCAAUUUUCAGCAUGCAGACAUGCAAGGAGUUUAUGAGCACACAUCAUUGGCCUCUCCACCAGCUAAAGAACAUCCUUCUGCUUCUCAUAAUCAACUUGAUGCUGAUGAAGUUGAGGAUAGAAGAGUUGAUUCAGGGCAAAGGGGUCUAGGUGGCUCACUGAGUGGUGGUACUGAGGCUGCUGUUGCUCGGGAUGCAUUUGAAGGAAUGAUUGAAACAUUGUCAAGGACCAAGGAAAGUAUUGGUCGUGCAACCCGACUUGCCAUUGACUGUGCCAAGUAUGGCAUUGCCAAUGAGGUUGUUGAACUUCUCAUACGAAAGCUGGAAAAUGAAACUAGUUUUCACCGCAAAGUGGAUUUGUUUUUUCUUGUUGAUUCUAUCACCCAGUGCUCACAUAAUCAAAAAGAGGAAAUUUUAGGCAUUGCAGGAGCAUCCUACAUUCCCACUGUUCAGGCAGCAUUACCACGUCUUCUUGGUGCUGCUGCUCCCCCUGGAGCCAGUGCCCGCGAAAAUCGUCGUCAGUGUCUCAAGGUUUUGAGGCUGUGGCUUGAGAGGAAAAUAUUUCCUGAAUCAGUUCUUCGUGGUUAUGUGGAUGAUAUUGGAAUUUCAAAUGAUGAUAUUACAGUUAGCUUUUCUCUUAGACGUCCAUCUCGGGCAGAACGAGCUGUGGAUGACCCUAUUAGAGAAAUGGAAGGCAUGCUUGUUGAUGAGUAUGGAAGUAAUGCAACAUUUCAGCUGCCUGGCUUUUUAUCCUCACAUGCAUUUGAAGAAGAUGAAGACGAAUAUGAAGAUGAUAUACCAAUCAAAUUGUGUAAGGAGACAUUUGAUGCAUCUCCAGCAGAUCCCACCCAUACCCUUGGAGAAUCAGAAACCUCUAAUGUUACCCCAAAUGACAAGCGCCAUUGUAUCUUAAAGGAUGUGGAUCGUGAGCUGGAAAUGGAAGAUGUUUCAGGUCAUCCCAAGGAGGAAAGGCCAACAUUUUUUAACAGUUCUGAUGAAAUUGAUUUGCAACUUCAGGUGUCAGAUAGCAAUUUGGAUCUGACUCCAAGCAUUUCAAAAGAAAUGUCAGCUACUCCUGAGGGUUCUCCUCCUUUGCCACUUGAUUCACCUCCUCCACCCCCACCUUUGCCUUCAUCACCACCACCCCCUCCUCCUCCAUUAUCACCAUCUCCUCCCCCACCCCCACCACCCCCAAUGUUGCAACCCCCACCUCCUCCUUUACCACCAUCAGCCCCUCCAGUGUCCUUGGUUCCUCAAUCGUCAGGACCAGCUCGGCCACUUCUGUCCCAACCAUUAAUGCCAUCUCAGUCAUCACAUCAGUCAUCCCCACAGUUGGGGUAUCAGCAGAGUGUACCUCAUGACUUUAGUGGCACUAAUAAUGGUAACCAAAUAGUUCCAAUGGCUGGGAAUUCAUUUCCUGGAGGUCACAAUAAUGCAGCUGUCAAGAAUGAAAUAUUUCCACAGCCUCCUGCUUAUGCUCCAACAGCAGGUUGCAGCUCCCAGGAAUCUUCUGGUUUUAACCCUUCAAGGCAAUUAGAGUACGGACAGAAUGAUAUGUAUCUAAAUGCUCAAGUUCCUCAACCUAACCAUCAAUUUCAGCAGGGCAAUCCCCCAUAUGCACAAAGGCACACACAUCCUGCCCCACCCCAAAAUCCACCAAAUCCGUACCCAUAUUCAAAUCCUACAGUUCAGCAACAUCUUCCACAUUCAUUCCAUCCUCCCUUCCCUUUACCGUCUCUUCCUGAUGGCAGGAGACAAUUUGUUGCUGAUGAGCAAUGGCGAAUGCCAUCGAGUGAAUAUAAAACAAACAAUCAACAUAGUGUAUGGAGAGGGAGAAAUCCAUCAUGUCCUGGUCCACCCUAUGGGCAAGAAGGUCAUUUUCAGCCACCAUUUGAAAGGACACCAGUAACCACUGUAGGUUUUCAGCGGCCAAUUUCAAGCAACCUACCUGUUGCUCCAAUCUCAGGACAUGUUGUACCUCAGAUGAUGCCCUGUAGGCCGGACAUUCCUUCUGUUAAUUGUUGGAGACCCACUUGAAAUUGAAUGGAGUCUUAUUAGUUUUAGUGGUGUUGCUGGUGGAUCAACAUGAAAGGUUAAAUUGUGCCACAAAGUUAGAUUCGCCUGUGUAGUACAUACAACUUACCCAUGAAGAAAUUUUGAAAACUCGAGGAGGCUUUUGACAGGAUUGUGUAUAUUGUAAUUUUUCCUGACAAUGUAUCCCAGGAACAUUUGCUUCCAAGUUUAGCCCAUGUUUUUCACUUGCUUCCUAAGUGGGGAGGCUACCCCAUUUCGAAGAUACCAGAGCCUUCCACAAGUUUCAUUUAGAUCUUUCACUGAAGCUGAAAGAUUAGUUUGCCUACUACUAACUGCCAUUGUCAGUUUGAAUAAAAAAUGCUUCAGGCUCUGGCAUAAACGGUCAUCUUUGUAUGCAAUAUUUUCAACAAUAGUUUUUGAUCAAAGAGAAUUCUGGAUAUCUCAGCGAUUUCAGGUUUUGUUAAUGCCAAAGAGGAUGGUGAUCAUUUUUUCAUGUUUUGAAUGUGAUAACUGAACAAAGAUUACAGUGAAACUUCUCAUAAAGACUGCUGAUUAUUGAGUGUCUACAGAAAGUUGCAAGUCCAAGGGGACGGUCUCAAAUUUGCCGUUCAGAAAAGGGUGUUUUGGACUCUUAACAUUCAUGAGAGGGUGUUUAGGCAUGUUUCAUAGCCGCAAUAUUUUAAAAGACUCAAGCAACCCAAAUUUGAGGGCAAAACCUGUAUUUGGGAGCUAGGAAACCAUUACAAGAAGAGUUGUGGACCUUCAUCAAAAAAGAUUUACGGUAAAAAUAUCUACAUUUAAGCUAUGGUAAGGUGCAAUUUUUUUAUUCAAUUUUACUCACACUGCUAAUGAUUUGUCAUAUCUAUUUAACUUCCUAUUUACCAAACAUUGUUUAAUUCGCGUGUACUAAUUUUAAUUUUUAGUCUUAACGCUGACACACUAGAAACUGAUGAACAUGAAGAAUUUUUAUAUUUAAUCGUUAUUGUUUGGUAAUUCUAAUGUUUUAGCAGAGCUAACGAAAAAAGUUAGAAGCAUCAAAUAAAAAUCCAAAAAGUAACCCUUGCGGAUUUGUUCAUUUAUUUAUAUCCUGCUUCGGAACGAAUUCAUAAGAUUAUUGCAACUAUGUAAUCUUCUGGUCGUAGAACAAGCAAAACAAAUCGGGUGGAAAAUUUCUUGAACUUAUCUGCUUACCCAUUUCUAAGAUAACAUUAUUCGUGCCAUGCUAGAGCAUUUUAAAGGAAGUUUCUUAUUAAUAAAGCAUUAUUUUACUGUGAAUCUUACAUACACGAUAUCUUUAGAAUUGAAGAAACUUGUUUAUAAUUUUUUUUUUCAGUUUUAAGAAGCUCGUAUUUGUGGAACCUAGAUUAAAAUAACGUUUUCAUUGAUAAGAAACUUCCAUUGCAGAUGUUCUAACAGAUUAGUAAAUGUAAUAUUAAUAUAUUUCUCUAACAUUUUUUUACCUCAACCCAUUGGUGUGAAAGCCAAAGGUCUGGGAACAUUAGAAAGGGCAACAGAACUGGUUUGAUCACUAACUACAUAUACUAAUCAAAUGCAGUUGUAAUCCUUUUGCUAGCCAUCAAAGAUAAGUUUUGCAAUGCUGCAGCUGAAAAUGGUAUGUUAAACUGGUUUUAAACUGCACUUUGAGGUUGGCUCACCGAUGAUUUUGCUUAAUUUGCUUCCAUUAUACUAAAUAGCACUUUGCUUAAACCAUCUGUUUGGAAUAAGAUGUCAACGCUAAUCGGCUAGAAGAUUUCUGCCUCUGAGCUAGGCCAUUAGCCGAUCUGGUAUAAAAUCCACCAUUGCUACUACUAUCCUGCUUCAUGAGCAACUCUGGAAUACGCUGAAGGUUAACUUCAGAUUUAUGAUUCCUCCGGAUAAGUGUAGCAUUCCUUUUAUCAAGGUUACUUUUCCUGUCUGCUACACCUGCCAUAAUAUCAGACCUCUCAUAACUAUCAGUGGCCAAACUAAGAGCAUUUCGGUGGUGACCAAGAGUUUUGCCGGACAUUGCUCCGUACUGACCUGGCAAAGAGCGCCGGACUGAGGAGAGCUUAUGCUCGGAGGACUUCCUUCUCAGUGGCUGGAAAGAUUCAAACAGUUCAUAGCUUGUAUUAUCAGCUGGACUAUUCUCUGUCUCAUCUUGUCUGCAGGAAUAACAAUGUUUAUGCCCAUCAGUGAAUUAAAUGUUCAUUAGAAGUAAUA